rnacentral:lncRNA from 1 species
ACCCUGGAUUUCCUGGUGAUGAAGGUCAACGAGGAUUACCUGGACCCCCAGGUGGUUCCUUCCCAGGUCAGGAUGGUGUUCCAGGAUUAAGAGGACAGCCUGGUGAUGAUGGUCUAUCUGGUUUGCCAGGCAGCCCAGGAGAAGAUGGCCGACAAGGAUUACCUAGUAGAAUUGCAGAUAUUGAGGAUCGAGGAGAUCCUGGAUUUCCUGGUAAUGAUGGACCUCCGGGUAAAACUGGACUUCCUGGCCAACCAGGAAAAGAUGGUCCUAGAGGCUCAGAUGGUUUCAGUGGUACAAAGGGUGACCCGGGAUUUGGGGGUAGGCCUGGUGCGAAAGGUCUUCCUGGUAUACCUGGAAGAGAUGGAGUAAAAGG